rnacentral:rRNA from 1 species
CCUACGGGAGGCAGCAGUAGGGAAUAUUGCUCAAUGGGGGAAACCCUGAAGCAGCAACGCCGCGUGGAGGAUGACGGUUUUCGGAUUGUAAACUCCUUUUGUUAGAGAAGAUAAUGACGGUAUCUAACGAAUAAGCACCGGAUAACUCCGUGACAGCAGCCGCGGUAAUACGGAGGGUGCAAGCGUUACUCGGAAUCACUGGGCGUAAAGAGCGCGUAGGCGGGAUAGCAAGUCAGAUGUGAAAUCCUAAGGCUUAACCAUAGAACUGCAUUUGAAACUGUUAUUCUAGAGUGUGGGCGAGGUAGGUGGAAUUCUUGGUGUAGGGGUAAAAUCCGUAGAGAUCAAGAGGAAUACUGAUUGCGAAGGCGACCUGCUAGAACAUAACUGACGCUGAUGCGCGAAAGCGUGGGGAGCAAACAGGAUUAGAUACCCGAGUAGUC